rnacentral:rRNA from 1 species
AACUACGUGCCAGCAGCCGCGGUAAUACGUAGGGGGCAAGCGUUAUCCGGAUUUACUGGGUGUAAAGGGAGCGUAGACGGCCAGACAAGUCAGAAGUGAAAGCCCAGGGCUCAACCCUGGGACUGCUUUUGAAACUGCCGGGCUGGAGUGCAGGAGAGGUAAGCGGAAUUCCUAGUGUAGCGGUGAAAUGCGUAGAUAUUAGGAGGAACACCAGUGGCGAAGGCGGCUUACUGGACUGUAACUGACGUUGAGGCUCGAAAGCGUGGGGAGCAAACAGGAUUAGAAACCCAAGUAGUCCGUAGAUC